rnacentral:lncRNA from 1 species
UGGUGUAGCUCAUCACUUUUUUUUUUUUUUUAUGUUGGGGCGAGGGUUUUCCUUCUGCUCCUAACGGGAUUGUGGGGGUGUAGCGGAAUUGCUGAGGGGCUUUUCCCCUCAUCCGAUUUCAAACGACCAGAUCUUCAUUUAUGUCAGGACAAGGUUCUCCUCCUGCUUCUGACAUGAUCAAUUUCAGCUCAUGUUAGGAUG